rnacentral:rRNA from 1 species
AUUGAACGCUGGCGGCAGGCCUAACACAUGCAAGUCGAGCGAGCGGCGGACGGGUGAGUAAUGUAUGGGGACUGCCCGCUAGAGGGGGAUAACUACUGGAAACGGUGGCUAAUACCGCAUACUGUCGGAUAACCCAUAUGGGAUGAGCUAGUAGGUAAGGUAAUGGAUUACCUAGGAGACGAUCCCUAGCUGGUCUGCGAGGAUGAUCAGCCACACUGGAACUGAGCCACGGUCCAGACUCCUACGGUGGCACAAGUGGGGAAUAUUGCACAAUGGGCGCAAGUGUGAUGCAGCCAUGCGGCGUGUAUGAAGAAGUCCCUAGGGUUUUAAAGCACUUUCAGUCGGGAGGCGUUACCGACAUAAGUAGCACCGGCUAAGUCCGUGCCAGCAGCCGCGGUAAUAC